AUCUAGCCGAGAAGCCCCUAUUGGAGACUUUUCUGCUAAAGACAACCUGUCUAGGAGAUCAGCAGCUGGUGGAACAAUGACCAGCCAACUUUAUGAGACUGUUCAAGGCUACAGGGCCAGUAGAGCAGCAUCCAGCAGAGGCUCAUGGGGAGCAAGACAAAAGGAGCAGCAUAGGAACCUCACUGAACGCUGUACUGGGGGCAUGAGUUGUCUUUCCAGCUACACUGCUGCAAGUAGAAUCUUCAUAGAGCUUUGUGUUGCAGGAAUGAAUAAUGAAGCAUUCUGAUAGAAGACAGGAAACUUCUGAUAGAGAAGAGAAACUUCAUUUUGGAUCUGCUUUUCACCAAUAAGAAGGAGCUGGCUCCUGGGCAACUUUGGGGACAAAUGGCCAUAUCAUCUUAGCAUUUGUAUUAAAGAAGUGGAAAACUAGACCUAUUGUGAUAUACACAUUUGGAAGGGCUGGAUUGAGAUCACCAAUAAGAAGCAUAUACCAGGUGGAUGCUGGAAUCUUCCUUCCUUCUCCCUUCAUGGAUUGA
rnacentral:lncRNA from 1 species